rnacentral:lncRNA from 1 species
AUAAGAUGAGCUAGAACAUAAAAAGUACUUUUGGUAUCAAGUUAAUCAGAAAAGAUGGAGGGACAAGACUGAAAAUAGGGUAAAAAACAGGGCGUCCACAUGGCGCCACUCUUGGAGGGGCUGCUGCCAAAAAGCAGGUUGUCAAGUUAAUAAGCUAUUCAUUUCCCUUUAUCAUAUUAUGUAGUACGGGCACUAACGCACUUAAUUCAUGUCUGUACAAGCAUAAAAAGAAGCAAACUUGCUUUUUCAAGAAGAAUGCAAAAAUAUUCUAUUGUAUUUGUAAAUGUUUCAAGGAGUCAGGCCUUGCUAAUAUAAACAAUAUUAUUGAAUAGUUCUUCCAUAUUUAAAAACAGGUUGCCAUUGGCAUACAAGCUUCCUCUUUCGCUAACAGAGUAAUAUCAUUUGUCAUCAAUAGUGUUCAUUACCUUUAAAUGUGAUAGUAUAAAUAAAAAUGCUUUUUAAUCAAGAACUUCAACUAAACUUCCUUUCUCUUCUAAUUUUGGGGUGGGUGGCGGGCGGUGGCUCAGUCAGGAGAGGAAAUGAGGAGAGAUCGUGGAAGAAGAAAUGGGCUCCAUGGAGGAAC